rnacentral:rRNA from 1 species
CCUACGGGGGACAGCAGUGGGGAAUAUUGGGCAAUGGAGGCAACUCUGACCCAGCAACGCCGCGUGAGGGAGGAAGGCCUUAGGUUUGUAAACUUAUGUUUGAAAGGAAGAAAAGAAUGACGGUACUUUACAAGAAAGCGUCGGCUAACUAUGUGCCAGCAGCCGCGGUAAGACAUAGGGGGCAAGCGUUGUUCGGAAUUACUGGGCGUAAAGGGAGCGUAGGCGGGAGAUUAAGGUAAGAGGGAAAGCCUUGGGCUCAACCCAAGAAAUGCUCUUAAUACUGGUAUUCUAGAGUGUGGGAGAGGUAAGUGGAAUUCGUGGUGUAGCGGUAGAAUGCGUAGAGAUUAGGAGGAACAUCAGAGGCGAAGGCGGCUUGCUGGACCAUAACUGACGCUGAGGCACGAAAGCGUGGGGAGCAAACAGGAUUAGAUACCCUGGUAGUC